UGAUCCUGGCUCAGAACGAACGCUGGCGGCAGGCUUAACACAUGCAAGUCGAGCGCUCACUUCGGUGGGAGCGGCAGACGGGUGAGUAACGCGUGGGAAUCUACCUAGUUCUACGGAAUAGCUUCGGGAAACUGGAAUUAAUACCGUAUACGCCCUCCGGGGGAAAGAUUUAUCGGAGUUAGAUGAGCCCGCGUUAGAUUAGCUAGUUGGUGGGGUAAUGGCCUACCAAGGCGACGAUCUAUAGCUGGUCUGAGAGGAUGAUCAGCCACACUGGGACUGAGACACGGCCCAGACUCCUACGGGAGGCAGCAGUGGGGAAUAUUGGACAAUGGGCGAAAGCCUGAUCCAGCCAUGCCGCGUGUGUGAUGAAGGCCUUAGGGUUGUAAAGCACUUUCAACGGGGAAGAUAAUGACGGUACCCGUAGAAGAAGCCCCGGCUAACUUCGUGCCAGCAGCCGCGGUAAUACGAAGGGGGCUAGCGUUGUUCGGAAUUACUGGGCGUAAAGCGCGCGUAGGCGGAUUGAUCAGUUAGGGGUGAAAUCCCAAGGCUCAACCUUGGAACUGCCUCUAAUACUGUCAAUCUAGAGUUCUAGAGAGGUGAGUGGAAUUCCGAGUGUAGAGGUGAAAUUCGUAGAUAUUCGGAGGAACACCAGUGGCGAAGGCGGCUCACUGGCUAGAUACUGACGCUGAGGUGCGAAAGUGUGGGGAGCAAACAGGAUUAGAUACCCUGGUAGU
rnacentral:rRNA from 1 species